AUUGAACGCUGGCGGCAGGCCUAACACAUGCAAGUCGAACGAGUGGCGGACGGGUGAGUAAUGUCUGGGAAACUGCCCGAUGGAGGGGGAUAACUACUGGAAACGGUAGCUAAUACCGCAUACCAUCGGAUGUGCCCAGAUGGGAUUAGCUUGUAGGUGAGGUAACGGCUCACCUAGGCGACGAUCCCUAGCUGGUCUGAGAGGAUGACCAGCCACACGGGAACUGAUAAACGUUCCAGACGCAGACGGGAGGCGGCAGUGGGGAAAAUAGAACAAUGGGCGCAAUCAGGAUGCAGCCAUGCCGGGUGUAGGAAGAAGGCCUUCGAGUUGUAAAGUACUUUCAGCGGGGAGGCGUUACCCGCAGAAGAAGCACCGGCUAACUCCGUGCAAGCCGCCGCGGUAAUAC
rnacentral:rRNA from 1 species